rnacentral:rRNA from 1 species
AUGGCAUUCUCCUUCUCCAUCGUCCCUCUCCCAGUUACAAUAGCGACGCACACGAUGAUGCCGCCGGGAGCAUACGCCAUCGGAGACACCGAGGCCGGUGUGUGUUGCCUUUUGCUUAUGGUCGGCAGGACUACGCUGCAAGUCUGGCUACUCAAGAAGAAGGACGGCGGCGGCGGGCAUGCGUGGGAGUUGGAGAAGCAAAGCCAUAUAGGCUGGCUGGACAGCUUCAACCGGCGGUUUGGUGUCCAAAUGGUGGCUGCUGGGCUCGCAAUUGUUUACUGCAUGAGUUGCAAGUAUUCUCACUUUGUCAUUGAUCUCAAGGACCUGAGCCUCAAGGAUAAGUUCCGUUGUCAUCGAACCAUGGCGUACCCUUUCCAAAUGCCAUGGCCACCUGCUGCGUUGGUGCCUACUUCUCCGUGCGAACGGCCCACCACACCCCAAACAUAUGCAUGCCGAGAUGCUGAAAAUCAACACGAAGCACCUUCUUCUAGUAGGAAGCGCAAGAGCAAUGAUGAAAUGGAGCCAUGUAUUUCCCCAGCUUCUUUGAAGAAUGAAUUCAUCAGAUAA